rnacentral:lncRNA from 1 species
CUCCACCUUACACGGUGUACGAUCCAUUAGGUUCCUUUUAGCGAGGUAGUGGGCGAUUAAAACCAUUUCAAAUCGAUUGUGAAUUGAAACUUACUUUCAAUUCUCCCUUUAGUGAUUAUACACGUUUAGGGCUUUCACAAACCAUGAGUGACACCUAGCAGCAUAUCAUGGUUACCCAAGCUAAUCAGAAGAGGUGGAGAACCUAUUCAGUUUAGGAUUACAAAUGCAAUACGAUCUUUCUCUAAUACAAUACUCUUGACCACAUUGAUUGGUUUGAUAGUUUAUUCAUGUCUACUAUCCAAUGUGAUUCGUGUGCUUAUAUGAUUACCUU